rnacentral:rRNA from 1 species
UGGUGGCGUGCUUAACACAUGCAAGUCGAACGGUGAAGCCCAGCUUGCUGGGUGGAUCAGUGGCGAACGGGUGAGUAACACGUGAGCAACCUGCCCUCCACUUCGGGAUAAGCCUUGGAAACGAGGUCUAAUACCGGAUACGAGCACUUACCGCAUGGUGGGUGUUGGAAAGUUUUUCGGUGGGGGAUGGGCUCGCGGCCUAUCAGCUUGUUGGUGGGGUAAUGGCCUACCAAGGCGUCGACGGGUAGCCGGCCUGAGAGGGCGACCGGCCACACUGGGACUGAGACACGGCCCAGACUCCUACGGGAGGCAGCAGUGGGGAAUAUUGCACAAUGGGCGAAAGCCUGAUGCAGCGACGCCACGUGAGGGAUGACGGCCUUCGGGUUGUAAACCUCUUUCAGCAGGGAAGAAGCGAAAGUGACGGUACCUGCAGAAGAAGCGCCGGCUAACUACGUGCCAGCAGCCGCGGUAAUACGUAGGGCGCAAGCGUUGUCCGGAAUUAUUGGGCGUAAAGAGCUCGUAGGCGGUCUGUCGCGUCUGGUGUGAAAUCCCAUGGCUCAACCAUGGGCUUGCAUCGGGUACGGGCAGACUAGAGUGCUGUAGGGGAGACUGGAAUUCCUGGUGUAGCGGUGGAAUGCGCAGAUAUCAGGAGGAACACCGAUGGCGAAGGCAGGUCUCUGGGCAGUUACUGACGCUGAGGAGCGAAACCAUGGGGAGCGAACAGGAUUAGAUACCCUGGUAGUCCAUGCCGUAAACGUUGGGCACUAGGUGUGGGGCCGGUUCCACUCGUUCUGUGCCGCAGCUAACGCAUUAAGUGCCCCGCCUGGGGAGUACGGCCGCAAGGCUAAAACUCAAAGGAAUUGACGGGGGCCCGCACAAGCG